rnacentral:rRNA from 1 species
AUACGGAGGCCGCAAGCGUUAUCCGGAUUUAUUGGGUUUAAAGCGUGCGUAGGCUGUUCGGAAAGUCAGCGGUGAAAGCCCGGCGCCUAACGGCGGAACUGCCUUUGAUACUUCCGAGCUGGACUCCGGAAGACGUGGGAGGAACGAGUAGUGUAGCGGUGAAAUCCAUAUAUAUUACUCAGAACACCGAUUGCGCAGGCAUCACACGUAUCCGUCGUUGACGCUGAGGCACGAAUGCGUGGGGAUCAAACAGGAUUAGAUACCCUGGUAGUGCACGCAGUAAACGAUGAUGACUAACCUUCGGCGAUACACAGUCGGUGCCCAAGCGAAAGCGAUAAGUCAUCCACCUGGGGAGUACGUUCGCAAGACUGAAACUCAAAGGAAUUGACGGGG